CCUACAGAAGCAAUAUCUCGCUAAAAUAACAGGCUCAAAUAAAAACUUCCAUCUAACACGACUGUAGUUACGUUGUGCAUCGUAGGUUAUAAAACAAAAUAUCAACAUGUGUCGAACUAGUAUAGCAACAAAAUAGAUCAAAUAUCCAAUACGAAAAGAAGUAAUGGUCUCUCAAGAGUUUGAAUGAACAUUUUAUCACAUUUAGAACACAACUAAGAAGCAGUUACGUUAUAACCAUUUGUGUUUUUUCCUUAAGAUCCGAACAUCAACGAGGAGAAAAGGAAUCAGACGCUAUAUAUAUAUCAAUGAGGGGAAAAAGAAUCAGUCACCAUAUAUAUAUGGUUGGAAAUAAGGGGGUGUUUUUGUAAUUUAUUGUACCCCUAGUUUUAUUUCCUUAUUUGUUAGGGCUUGUAACCUAUAUAUAUAUUCUUCACCCCUGUAUAUUUUAGAUUAUUAGGAAAUAACAAAAGUGGCUUCUAUUGUGGUUCUAUUGUGGUUUUUUCUUCCUGUACUAGAGUUUUCUACAUGUACCUUGUGUUGUUUUCUUCUUUUCAAUACGGCAUCAGAGCAUGGUGAUGACAAAACCCAAGCCAUCAUCGCCAAAAAAACAAACGAUGGUGGAAAACCCUAUUGCCAAUGAUUCCCAUACCAUGAAGCUGCCGCCACUGACCUCCACAAUGAUGCUGCUGCCACAAUCACUGCCAUUAAAGCCUUGGUCAACCAGUAUCUUCGAUGCUGCCUUCCACCUCCGUGCUUCCUUUUUCCGUCGCUGGCAUCUUUUUCUUUGCCAUCCUGAACUGCUCCAUCACCGGUUGUCCACCCAGUCACCGUCCCCUUCCUGCCGAUCAGUCUUCAACAGUCACGGCUCUCCAUGGCAAGGUUGUCUUCCAGUCGACUUCUCUCUCCGCAGACACCACCAGCCACACCUCCUUCAUUCCGAUCAGAUCGAAAAACAUAUUUCAUUCGUCUACGGGCAAUUAUUUCCAGGUGAAAAGUGGUGAGUACUCUACCCACCACAAAGAAAGGUAAAUCUACUUGUGAUGGUCGAUGGUUCAAUAACAACCGGCAAAUCUCCAAAUGAAUUUUCAGCAACAAACUGCUCCCAGGGCAGCUCUAGGUGCUUCCAGCCUUUCACAAACUCAACAAAUUAUGCCACGCCUUCAGUCUUACCGAUGAAUUCCGACAACCCCAUAACCUCUUUCCCUUGCCUUAACUGCUACAAAUUUUUAUCUAGCUCCAUGAAAAUUCCGCAUGACUAAUUGGAGGGAGAAAAUGAAUGGCCAGAAUUACUUUUCAUGUUCAUAAUCUUUUAAAAUGGAACUUGAGGAGCAUCACAAAUUUCGGUAUCUAACAGAAGAGGUGUUUAGCAAUUCUAAGUUAGAAUUUGGAGUCAAUGUCUGGAGCUAAAUUGGGCAAAUAUGAUUUCAUCAGCGUCAACAGAGGCAAAUGCUGAAGAAAAUAAGCUAAUAUGGCUUCUGUCUUUUAGUGCCCCACGAUGUUGGGGCAGCAUUGUAAGACAAAAUGGAAGAUUGUUGUGAAAAGGCCACGGUGCCACCUUGGGGCGUUGCGGCGCUUCGAACCCUAUUCGCACGUGGAAGAUCGUCGGCAGUCAAGGAUGAAUCGGAUUCCAACAGCUUCUCAUCUGUUUUGUCUCAAUUUUUUGAGUUCUUUUGGUCUAACUUGGUUCCCAAACACUCCCUCAUCAUCCGACAUGUGGAAGAGAGGGCUAAGGUACUUGCUCUAGCUUGGGUUUUGAUAAGAAUCAUGAUGUUCCAUACGAACCAAUUACAAGAUCAAAGGCAACAAAGAUUAACAAAUCUUUCAUUCUUCAUGUAGAAGAAUGGAGGUCGGUUCAGCCUCAAUUCCAUAGACCACAUGUUAAUACAAGAGACGAAGGACCAUUUGGGGUAUUGAAUGUCAGUGUUUCUCGGUGGACAAUGGUAUACACAUUCAGCUUCCUUGAACCCAACACUUUGAAGACCUCAUGAUUUGGUUAAUAUCACAUUUUUAUUGUA